UACGGGGGGGGCAAGCGUUGUUCGGAAGUACUGGGCGUAAAGGGCUCGUAGGCGGCCAACUAAGUCGGACGUGAAAUCCCCAGGCUCAACCUGGGAACUGCGUCCGAUACUGGAUGGCUUGAAUCCGGGAGAGGGAUGCAGAAUUCCAGGUGUAGCGGUGAAAUGCGUAGAUAUCUGGAGGAAUACCGGUGGCGAAGGCGGCAUCCUGGACCGGCAUUGACGCUGAGGAGCGAAAGCCAGGGGAGCAAACGGG
rnacentral:rRNA from 1 species